rnacentral:lncRNA from 10 species
CGUAGGAGCCUCGGAGCCAGGUGCAGGACACAAUCUCCUGGUGCGCCAUUUUUUAAGCCCGUCGGAAAAGCGCAGUAUUCGGGUGGGAGUGACCCGAUCUUCCAGGUGAGCACUUGGGAUAUUUCAGAUGUUUCCCUGUUGUAAUGAAGCUUUUUAAAAAUGCUUUGCAAGUCUUUGGAUGUUUCCUUGCCUCGAACAUUGGACUCCAAGUUCUUCAGUUUUGGGACUCCGACUGGCUCUCCUUGCUUCUUGCUUCUCAGCCUGCAGGCAGCCUAUUGUGGGACCUUGUGAUUGUGUGAGUUAAUAGUUAAUAAACUCAUAUAUCUAUCUAAAUAGACAUAGAUAUAGGUAUAGGUACAGAUAUAGAUAAUCUCUUACUAGUUCUGUCCCUCCAGCGAACCCUGACUAAUACAGGUUUUUGUACCAGGAGUGGGCCUAGAGGAACAGAAUAUUAAGGAUACAGUUGUUUCAUUUUGGGGUUUCUGGAGUUGGCUGUUUAAUAUUAUUAGACUAAAAAAUGCUAAGGACUCUACUUCUAAUAGUACAGAGAACACUGAGAGUCCUUGGUGUGAACUGUUCAGAAA